rnacentral:rRNA from 1 species
ACGCUCGACACCUACGGGAGCAGCAGUGGGGAAUAUUGCACAAUGGGGGAAACCCUGAUGCAGCGACGCCGCGUGAGCGAAGAAGUAUUUCGGUAUGUAAAGCUCUAUCAGCAGGGAAGAAACUGACGGUACCUGACUAAGAAGCACCGGCUAAAUACGUGCCAGCAGCCGGACGGUAAUCUGAGCGGGCUGGCAAGGC